UGGCGGCGAGUGGCGAACGGGUGAGUAAUAUAUCGGAACGUACCCAGAAGUGGGGGAUAACGUAGCGAAAGUUACGCUAAUACCGCAUACGAUCUACGGAUGAAAGUGGGGGACCUUCGGGCCUCAUGCUUUUGGAGCGGCCGAUAUCUGAUUAGCUAGUUGGUGAGGUAAAGGCUCACCAAGGCGACGAUCAGUAGCUGGUCUGAGAGGACGACCAGCCACACUGGGACUGAGACACGGCCCAGACUCCUACGGGAGGCAGCAGUGGGGAAUUUUGGACAAUGGGCGCAAGCCUGAUCCAGCAAUGCCGCGUGAGUGAAGAAGGCCUUCGGGUUGUAAAGCUCUUUUGUCAGGGAAGAAACGGCUGAGGNUAAUANCNUCGGCUAAUGACGGUACCUGAAGAAUAAGCACCGGCUAACUACGUGCCAGCAGCCGCGGUAAUACGUAGGGUGCAAGCGUUAAUCGGAAUUACUGGGCGUAAAGCGUGCGCAGGCGGUUUUGUAAGUCUGUCGUGAAAGCCCCGGGCUCAACCUGGGAAUUGCGAUGGAGACUGCAAGGCUUGAAUCUGGCAGAGGGGGGUAGAAUUCCACGUGUAGCAGUGAAAUGCGUAGAGAUGUGGAGGAACACCGAUGGCGAAGGCAG
rnacentral:rRNA from 1 species